GAUGAAGAACGUAGCGAAAUGCGAUACUUGGUGUGAAUUGCAGAAUCCCGUGAACCAUCGAGUCUUUGAACGCAAGUUGCGCCCGAAGCCAUUAGGCCGAGGGCACGCCUGCCUGGGCGUCACACGUCGUUGCCCCCCCAUCUACUCCUUCGGGAUUGCGGGGGGCAGAUGAUGGCCUCCCGUGCGCCUCGUCGCGCGGUUGGCAUAAAUGCCAAGUCCUCGGCGACGCACGCCACGACAAUCGGUGGUUGCGAAACCUCGGUUGCCCGUCGUGUGCGGUCGUCGCGCAUCGAGGGCUCGAAAAAAUUGCCGGGCUCCGGCUCGGCUUUCAACGCGACCCCAGGUCAGGCGGGGUUACCCGCUGAAUUUAAGCAUAUCAAUAAGCGGAGGA
rnacentral:misc_RNA from 1 species